AGCCCUCCGUGCUCAGGCAGUAAUUGCCAGGCAGCUGACAGGGAGAAUUUACUGCCUGUUGGUGUUCACAAUGCAAACUCUCCCUGGGUUUGCUUCCCUUUCCUUUGCUUCCCUGUUUGUUUUCUAAUACAGUGUUGUCUGGCCUGAGUUUCUUCCUUAUUCUGAACAUGUGCCUGGCAAGCUCAGGAGGAAAUCCAGGUGAGGUGGGAAUGCCCAGGUAUCCCUGCCAUUCCUACAUCAGCCAUUCCCACCCUCCAGGUGCUCCUUGUGCAGCCACAGGUGACCCAUGAUGUUCUCUUUGUCACAUUUGGAGCUGUCACAUUUUGGCCAGGGGCAGAAAGGAGUGGGGAGAGCUCUUAAUUCCCAGUUCUUCCAAUGCUCUACCUCCUUCAAACAUUCCUCUGGCAGAAGAAAAGGAAACUCUCAAUGCCUGUCCCUGUCGCCCUCCCAGCACUGCUUUCAAAUGCCAGUAUUGGAUUCCCCGUAGGAUAUGAAUUUACAGUCUCUAUUCAUUCUCACUUCUGACUCCAUUCCACAUGGAAUCUCCCUAAAUACACAUCUCCAUGUGAACAACUCCCCCCCUUUUUGGGAAUCUCCCCCUCCAGUAUUUAAAGCUCUCUCUAGACUCCCCAAACAUCAGCCUGAGCCUGAGUCCAUUUUGUCCAUGAUGGGAUUUGCUCCCAGCAGAAAUUUUUGACCCUGAGACCUCAUAAACCCAUUCCCAGGUGGAUGUUUGAUAUCCCUGGGAUGAGAUCUGAGGGCCUGAGGGUCUCUCGUGCAUAUCAGCAACACAGGUAGUGACUACACCUGUCUGUCACACGUGUGUGGGCAUGUCAUGGAGCAUCCCAGAGUCAUCAGGAAUGUGGGAAGAGCCCGUCAGGACCAUCCAGUGCCACCAGCAUCACCCCAAACCCUGUCCCCAAGGCCACAUCCAGACUCCACUGGGACAAUCCCAGUGACUCCAAACCUCCCUGGGCAGCUCAGCCCAAGGCCUGACCACUCUGCCAGGGAAAUUUUCUGUCCCAGUCUCCAACCUGAGCCUCCCCUGGUGCCAUUUGAGGCCAUUUCCUCUCCUCCUUUCCCUGCCCCUCCUGUCAGGAGCUGUGCAGAGCAAUGAAGUCCCCCCUGAGCCUCCUUUUCUCCAGGCUGAGCCCUUUCCCAGCUCCCUCAGGAGUUUUCCAGUCCCCUCCCAGCUCUGUUGCCUUCCCUGGACACGCUCCAGCCCUGCCCUCUCCUGCCCUGUCCAUCCCUUUAUGGAAUCUCAGGAUGAUCCCCAGAUCUUUCACCACCAAUCUAAGGUGUCCACCAUGUCCGAGCUCCCUUGAAUCUCACAGGUUUGGUUUUUCCUCCAAAAGCAUCCAAACACUGUAGGAAAUGUAAUAUUUAAUAUUUAAAAGCACAGGGUUAGAGAGGAUGGUCUGAAUAAUGAGUGGUGACCAUGCCCUGAAUACUCAGGAAAUAAAAACUCCCCUUAUAGAGAUUUUAUUUACUUUAUUUAAGUGAUAAGUGUAAUGCAAAAUGUCCUUUUUCAUGCUGCAGUUUGGGCAAACCACCCUCUCUGCAUCCUGGUGUCUAUCCCAUCCAUCCCUAUCCCAAAGAGCAGCACAGAGAGCAUGGAUGAAUAAUUCCACCCUUAAUACAUCAUCCUUUAUAAUAAAGCACAGAUAAAAAUAUGUCCUCAUAAAUUCUAUAUACAUAUGUCAGUGCAGGUUUUCUUUGGGAAAGGUGUUGGGAAUGUUUGAGGCUUGUAGCAAAGUGGGGCUCUGCUCCCAGGGAACGGGGACAGGACGAGGGGAAAUGUCCUCAGGUUGUGCCAGGGGAGGCUCAGGUUGGACACCAGGAGUAAUUUCCUCAUGGAAAGGGUGCUCAGGACUUGGAAGGGGGUCACAGCUUGGACUCGAUCAUCUGGGAGGGCUUUUCCAACCUCAGUAAUUCUGGGAUUCCAUGAAAAAAUGUCCUGCAAUAUCUCAGAGGCUUCUGACAAAGAAGCUGGCCCAGCAUAGUAGUUAAGAGUGAAAAUGAAAGAAAAUUUGGCACUUUCAGAAGCUCAAAAUCACCAUUCAGAGCUUCUCUAACCACAGCUAUUUUCGGUUUUAGCCAUCUCCUGCCUAGGCUCUACAAAACCUCAUUUUGCACCAGGUUCUCCGUGCAUCACAGAAAGCCAAUUCUCUGAUUAAAAACCUUAAUUUCCACCUAUGGCACAUCGCUCAAUAUCAAAAUAAAAUCAAAAUUUAUCACAGGUUUAGGACUGGGAUGUUGGUUACCUCCAGCCCCAGGUCAGGAGAGGUAUUUGGAGGUGCUGGUAGGAAGCAGGGAUUGUCUGUGGAAAGAGGAAUUGCUCUGCUGGGUGAGGUUUUGUUUGCCUGGCUAUGGGCAGGGGUGCAGGACAGGUGCAGGCCUGUUCUCACUGCUGUUUCCUCAUUUCUCCAGCAGGUUUGUCCAUAAACACCACACAUUUCAGGUGGGUUUAGGAUUUAGGACUAGGGUCUAAUGAGAGGAUGUAAAAGGAAAAUGAGGAGAAUAAAUGGGAAAAGACUGGGAUGAAGAAAGGCUCGAUUUGAGGAAAAUUAAGACAGGGAAAGAUGGGGAAGUAGGAAGAUGAAUGAGCCAAAAGAGAACAGAAGAAUCAUGGAUUUGUGUGGCCAGAGGAGGCUCCAGGAUGAGCAGAGGGAUGGAGCAGCUCUGCUGGCAGCAAAGGCUGGCACAGCUGGCAUUGUUCACCUGCACAGGAGAAGCUUUGGGCUGAGCUCAGGGUGGCCUUGCAGGGCCUGCAGGAGCCCCAGGAAAGCUGGAGAGAGACAAUUUCCAGGGGAUGCAGGGACAGCACCCAGGGAGUGGCUUCCAAACUGAAAAAUUACAGGUUUAGAUCAGAUAUUAGGAACAAUUUCCACCCUGUGAGGGUGGGCAGAGCUGGGAUGGAAUUGCCAGAGCAGCUGGGGCUGCCCCUGGAUCCCUGGCAGUGCCCAAGGCCAGGCUGGACACUGGGGCUGGAGCAGCCUGGGACAGUGGAAGGUGUCCCUGCCAUGGGCUUUGAGGUCCCUCCAACCCAAACAUUCCAUGGAUCCGGGAUCUCUCUUGUCACCUCCCUUCAGGUAUUUCCCUUUGGUCACCCCAAAGCUUCUCCUCUCCAGGUGAACAAUCCCAGCUCUUCCAGCCUUUCCUCCAUCCCUCUGCCCACCCUGGUGCCUCCUCUGGAACUGCUCCAGCAGCUCCGUGUCCAUCUGCCACAAUGUGAUGCUUGCACACGAUGGAAGGAGUUCAGAUUCUUUUUGCUGUUUACUUUUAAAAAGCUGCAUAAUUGCACACAUCCAAUCUGCUUUAAAUGAGGACUAGGUUGCAAAAUCAAUACCACAUAAUGAGGAGCGUUAUUUCUCCUUCCUCUCCUUUGCAUCUGCAUAUGCAAAGUAGAUAAUUGCCCACUUUUCUUUUCCAUGGGCUCUGUGCCACAUUUAUUUUUCAGGGUGGAGCCACUCUGGAGCUGUGUCAGGAUGACAUAGUGGAGGAGGCUGCUGUCUCCAGAAGUUUUUCCACAUUUGUUUCAGCAGACAGAAGAUGAGCAGUGAAUUUGCAGGGGAUUAUGUGGAAAAGGAUGAGCUCUUGGGUUUAAACCAGCUGGGAUGUGCCUUAGGAAGGGAUUGAAUCCCUCCUUCCUUACUUGGGUGGGGCUGCACGAGUCAGUUAAACCACACUUCUUGCAGGUGGCCAUGAAUUUCACCCUCCCAGUUUCUGAGUGUCUGAAUUGACAUUUUGUGGUCUCAUUUGCAGAAGUGCUGAAUGAUCCCAGAUGGAAUAAAUUCAAUUGGUGCUACACAUGUGAAGUGCUCUGAAUGAGGAACGCAGCAACUUCUUGAAAUAUUCACUUGAACUCUUCACUGUCUCAAAGUCAGGAACCAGAACCUUCAACUGCAGGGAACAGCUCUAAAUGCACGAGCAGGCAGAGGGAGACUGGCAGAAGCUGCAGAGCCUCCACAGGCACACCUUUGGUUCCUGUGUCCCAUCCUCUGGCCACAACUCAAUUAAAUCCCAAUCAGUGGCUCAUUAACCCUCCAGUGUGAGCAGACACUCCAGCAAACUGGGAACAGCAAUAAAAGCAGAAGCCUGUAAGAGUGAAAAUUAACAAAAUCAAAGUAAUUAGCAAAUGGAAGAGAAAAUUCCAGCAAGGAGAAUGAACAAUGGUCCAUUGAGUAACCACGAAGAACAGAGAGAACAGAGCAGAACAUUUCAGCAAGUUGGGGUUUUUCCAGUCAGCCAGACCUGGCAGAAUCCAGCUGAGAGGACGUGGAGGACUGGCUGAAUCCUAGAGGAAUCCACAAGGAAUCCCUUCCCACACCUGGAAAAAGGAAGAGCAGGGACAGGUGCUGCAGUCACCUGAGUGAAAAAAAAACAGCUUGGGGAAUGUCAGAGGAGAAAACAGCCCAACUUGAAUUCCUGGAAAUUUCUGGAAACAAAUAAUGAAACAAAGUUUUCUUUUGUGCAUGGGAAAUAGUGAAAUGAUAAGUGGAGGCCAAGAAUGAUUUGCCAGGAACAAAUCCUGCCCGGCCAGGCUCAUUUCCUCCCCUGACAAGUAGCAGCUCUUAUGGACAAUAGAUAUUGCAUAUCUUGACUGGAGCGAGGCUUUCAGCACAGCCUCCACUGAGGGAACUAAAAUGAAACCAUUGUAAGGUGGACUCAGCUGUUUGAAACAUCAAAAACCCUCCAAGAGGGAUUGUUGUUGGUGUGGAAGAAUGAUGGGAAGCAUUUUUGCAGAUGCCCUGCCUGGGGUUUGGGCCAUUCCCUGUUUCCCUUGUGUUUUGGAGGAUGAAGGAUUGAGUGGAAAGUUCCACCAGGAUUAACAUCUCGAUCCUUGAAGUAAUGGUGUAAAACCAGCAGGAUUCAGUGCAAGUGUAAACUCAGUUUUAGAUAAGAAUAAACCCCCAGUGGAAGGAGCCAACAAGAAAAAAAUGAGACAAAAACUUGUGGGGAUUUUGGAAGAGCUUAAGCUCCCUGGAAAUCAAAAACAGUGUGGGAAAGCAAGGAUUGUCCUGAAAUGUCUAAACAGGCUGGUUGGGAUGUGUGGAAUAAUUCAUGCACUCCCACUCAGCCCUGGGAAGGCCUGAAAGUGAAAAAUGAAUUAUUCCCUCUGGUCACUGAACUGGAGAAACCCCAGCGUGGUCUCCAACUUCCUCACGAGGCCAAUUAGGGAAAGUCCUGAGAGCACAAAAAGGUGCUGAAAGUCUGUAAAAAAGCUGACCCUGGAGGGAAAGCUCAAAGAUCUGGGUUUGGUUGUUUUAAUCUAGAGAAAAUAGGACACAGAAGAAACAUGAUAAGAGUCUUCAAAUAUGUAACAGGUAGAAGGCAGCAGGAAACUCUCAAUGCUUGGAGGGGAACAGGGAGCUUCAACAAUAUCAGGAAUUACAGUUUCUGCUGGAUUUAAGGGAAAACUUCCCAGUUAGGGAGUUAAGGAAGCCUUGGAGGGCAUUGAGGGCAUUAAAUGCAGCUGGAAAAUGCACCACAGAUUAUUGGUGUGUUGGGGAAGCCCCGAGGGAAGAAGCUUUGAGGCAAAUGUACCUAGAAAGCUGCAGAAAUGGAUUUGAAAGGCUCAGGUGACAUCUGGAGCUGGAGACAUCCCAAGGGUGCUGUCCAUGGGUGAGGCAUCUCUCAGCUCCCAGGAAGUUCUUUCCAGCAACCUCAAAACAGGAAAAAAAAAUAUAGAAAAAUCAGUUCUAGGAUGCAAACAUUGAAAGGUUUCCAAGUCCCAGAUAAUUUCUUGAGGUCUCUUUGUGCCUUCAAUGACUGCAGACAGACACAGACGGUGCCAGAAUGGCUGAAUUUCUGCUCCAGUGGUUUCCUACCACAGGUGAGAAAAGGGAUGUUAAGCUGUGUUGGUGUCUUCUGCAAAAAUAUAUAAAUAAAUAUGAAUAAAUAAAUAAAGGCUGCAUCCUGUGCAUAUCUGGCAAGAGCAGCCUGCAAUCCCAUCACCUGGGAGACAACCAGGGACUGGCACUGCUGCUGUGCCAGGGAACGAGAGGUUUUGUCAGGAACCUGAGGGAUGGCUGUGGUUGGAUCCCUCUGCAGACAUUCAGGAGCCAAGGCGAGGAAAUGAGAAGCAGCAGAGGUACCAAGA